GGAGAAAAAAACCUGUCAAACAAAAUUCUGUAUGUGGCCAAACUAUUCCUCAAAAAUGAGGGAGAAAUUUAAAAAAAAAAAAAAAAUGAGGGAGAAAUUAAGAUGUCCUCAGAUUUUAAAGAAACAGAAAACCAAAGGAGGUCUUUGCAAGUACACCUGCCCUAAUGAGAAAUGAAUGCUAAAGGGAGUUCUUUAGGCUGAAAUGAAAGGAUACUAGACAGUAACUUGAAAUCAUAUGAAGAAAUAAAGCACUCUGAGCCUGAAUCUAGAGAAUCUAAAAUGCCGUGCAUCCUAAGAAGCAUGUAAUGGUCCGGAGGUGGAUGAGUCUUUUCAUGCACAGUUGCUCCAGUACAGCUCCUCCAGGACAAUUCCCCUGUUUCCGAAGACCUGUGAACUCUAAAAGCGAGUUACCUGCUCCUCCCACAUCCCCCCACCACACACGCAAUUCAGGACAGGGAGACUGGCUGAGGGUAACUGCUAUAGACCUUCCCACUCAAAAAGAAAGGGAAGUAAGGCACACAAAAAUCUCAUAAAUGUCGCAAAUUUGAAAUCCAGCCAAGACCAUGCUGCCAGUUUCUUGAUAUGGGUUCAAGCUUAUGGCCUGUGAAUGAUUCUGGACGGCUCUUGGAUCCACCUUUAAGGUUUUUGAUCCUACUGUCUGAAUUCUCAUUUCUUUUCCAUUAGAAAUAGCAGAAUGGCUUUCUCUCCAUAUCUUGCCCAUACUAGUCGAAUGGUCCAAUAGGCUCUUUUUAUUUUGUUCUGCCUCUGUCCCUCUUAGUCCAAGCUGGCAAUGUUUCUGUCAAUGUAUUUUCUUAAAUUUUUUGCAGGUUUUCUAUGAGUAUUAAUAGUAUUCAUUCCACUACAGAAACAUUAAACUGAGACAUAUUAAAAUGCUGAAGAGUUUCUUUGAGCAAACCUCGAUUUGAAUCAACCAAUGGAAGCCCCUACGGAAAGGUUAGGAGGGCCCCACUGACAGGAGCUAGGGGCAAGAUUUUUAUAUAGAAGAUGUGGAAGCAAAGCAAACAAAUUAUUUUAUUGAUUACAGCUUAAGCAGUCACCUUAUUUGAGAAAGCCUAGUUGGCUGGGAUUGGUUGUUCUUAAUUUUCACUUUCUUGGAUUUGAGACAUUGACUCUGGCUUGUGUUUCUGUUCGGCUAUGUAGGCUAGCAAUGCAUUAGAGCCUCCUGAGUCUAAGGCCCUCCUUGUUUAAUUAUAACUUUAACACUAUCUUUGGCUCCCCGUAAGGUUGGAGGAGAAAGUCCUCAGAAUUUUUAGAGGCUCUAUUAUUUAAAGAAGAGGAUCAGUGUUUAGAGGGACUGUUGUCUGUUUGAAGUACCAUAACAAGUAUUUCUGUGGUCAUAACAGAGGGUGGUAUAGUCGAACUCUUACUGUCUUCUUUAGACUAUAUUUUCCUGACAAUGCCUUAAAUUUGAUCUCAGCUCAGAAAAUAUUUUUAACUUUUUAGAAUCUUUUGCUAACUGUAGACUGUGUGGAUGACAAAUGGCUUUAUUGUCAAACCCUGAAAGUUCUGGGCCCCUUAUGCUAAAAAAAAAAAAUUGUUUUCUUUAUCCUUUCUCUCUUCUUUCAUGUUUUACUAUGAGCAACCAGGAAAAGCCAGAUGACACUUUAACACUCUGUCUGGAAUGUUCUUAAGUAGAUCAUCAGGUUCAUUUUUCCUAUUUUUCAUGUUAACAAAGGUGACGGGAUCGUUAAAGUUUCCAUCUUCCAAUAACAUUUUUCUCACCUUCCUUUCAUCUCCCACCAACAUCCUCCUAAAAUGCCACCAAGCUUCCACCAACAGACUCUGAGGCUUUUUAGGCUCUCACUUACACUCUCCUCGAUGUCCUUCCAGUUUCUCCCACCACCUGGGCCUAAGCCAUUCUCACCUGCUCUAAGAGUUUUACUAUACCAGGAGUAGCACCACUGCUGGUACCCAAAUCUGUUCCAGGUUAGAAUGUGCUUCUCUUACACUGUAGAACUGUUACCUGAGUUUGUUUAAAAUAACGGAUUGGAGCUACCAUGUUAGUAUUGCAAGAAAAUGUCUCUGUACUAUGUUGGCCUCUAAAAAAAGGAACAACCAUUUCACAGGUGAAGAGGCUUAACUUACUUUCCUGAAGAUAAAAAUCUCUUCAAAUCACUGGUCCAACAUAAUCUUGAAAAUACUCUCUGCUAGAACCUAGAGGAUUUGCAUAGACAUAAGUUCUGAAAGCUGGAAGUCUGAGAUCAAGGUGCCAGCAUGGCUGGGUUCUGACAAGAACCAUCUUCCUGGCUUGUGCAUGGCUGCCUUCUCACUGUGUGCUCACAUGGACUCUCCCCCGUGGGUGUCUGGAGAGACAGAGAGAGAGCAAACUCUCCGAUGUCUCUUCUUGCGUGGACACUAAUUGCAUCAGAUCAGAGCUCCACCCAUACAACCUCGCUGAACCUUAAUCACCUCCGUAAAAGCCCUCUCUCUAAUAUAGUCAGAUGAGGGAGAGGUCAGAGCUUCAACAUAGGAAUUUUCUAGGCAGACAAUUCAGUCCAUAGCAAGUAAUCGUCCUACUAUGCGUCACGGAAAGACUGAGAUCACUGAGAAAUCAUCCUGGGUGUCCCUUUGGAGCAGUUCCAUAAUUAGUGACCCCAUUCUAUUACUUCAACAAAUAGUUUCUAUUCCAGGUACUGUUUAGGGGCCAAGUAUAAAUCAUGAACAAAGGAGAACUAACUGUUGCUCUCUUAUAUUUGGUAUGAUACAUACUUAUAAAGAAAAAUUUCCUGAUACGAAAAGAUUGUAGAAUGAGGAAAGUCUUCUCUGAGAAUAUUUAAGUUGAGACUUAGGAUGGAUGGAAAGAUGCUCACAAUGCCUGCUGGACAUCUCAGCAAAUCAGAGGACCAACAAGUUUCUGAGCCAGAGCUUGUGGCUGUGCAGUCUGCAGGAGGGCAACCAGGAGCAGGAGAAGGUGGAGCCGUGCUGGCAGGCAGUCUUCCAACUGCAUGUCGACCUGGAGCUGCCGGCAAGUGUUUGUUUACUGGUGUCUGCUAUGCUCCUGGAGCCCCCUUGCAUGGCAGUCAGGAAUUUUUGGAGGACGCACACACUCAAUCUACAGCAGCUAUCUGUUUGAAACUUCAUCUAACCUAUAUAGGAAAGAAAUACUGAAUUUGAUACAGUUUAGAUUUCCUUAUUUUGGAGAAUGACUUCAUAAUCUUAGAGUAAAUGAUAAACAUCAAACUUUCAGCUGUUGAAGCCAUAUAAUCGUGUGAAAAAAAACUGAAGAAGUGCCAGAGCCUUAUAGCGUUUGCCCAUGGCCCUGAAAUAAAGCAGUUAUAAAAAUAUAUAUAUAGGGGCUGGCCCCGUGGCCGAGUGGUUAAGUUCGCGUGCUCCGCUGCAGGCGGCCCAGUGUUUCGUUGGUUCGAAUCCUGGGCGCGGACAUGGCACUGCUCAUCAGACCACGCUGAGGCAGCGUCCCACAUGCCACAACUAAAAGGACCCACAACGAAGAAUAUACAACUAUGUACUGGGGGGCUUUGGGGAGAAAAAGGAAAAAAA
ensembl:lncRNA